rnacentral:rRNA from 1 species
UACGUAGGGUGCAAGCGUUAAUCGGAAUUACUGGGCGUAAAGCGUGCGCAGGCGGUUUUGUAAGUCUGUCGUGAAAGCCCCGGGCUCAACCUGGGAAUUGCGAUGGAGACUGCAAGGCUUGAAUCUGGCAGAGGGGGGUAGAAUUCCACGUGUAGCAGUGAAAUGCGUAGAGAUGCGGAGGAACACCGAUGGCGAAGGCAGCCCCCUGGGCCGACACUGACGCUCAGGCACGAAAGCGUGGGGAGCAAACAGG